rnacentral:rRNA from 1 species
CCAGACUCCUACGGGAGGCAGCAGUGGGGGAUAUUGUACAAUGGGGGAAACCCUGAUGCAGCGACGCCGCGUGGGCGAAGAAGUAUUUCGGUAUGUAAAGCCCUGUCAGCAGGGAAGAAAAUGACGGUACCUGAAGAAGAAGCCCCGGCUAACUACGUGCCAGCAGCCGCGGUAAUACGUAGGGGGCAAGCGUUAUCCGGAUUUACUGGGUGUAAAGGGGGCGCAGACGGCGAUGCAAGCCAGGAGUGAAAGCCCGGGGCCCAACCCCGGGACUGCUCUUGGAACUGCGUGGCUGGAGUGCAGGAGGGGCAGGCGGAAUUCCUGGUGUAGCGGUGAAAUGCGUAGAUAUUAGGAGGAACACCAGUGGCGAAGGCGGUCUGCUGGACAGCAACUGACGCUGAGGCGCGAAAGCGUGGGGAGCAAACAGGAUUAGAUACCCCUGUA